UUCCCGGCAAUGCAAGAGAAGCCAUUGAAAAACUACUAAACAAUGCAACAAUUUUGGCACCAGGGUAGCUAUUCCUCCAUUUCGUCAAGAUAAAGCAAGAUGUAUUUUAUCGUAACUCAUUCCUGCUAAGAUAAAAAGUGGAAAAAGUGCAGCACUGAUAAAUCCAUGAGAAAUCAUUUGCAAAAUAGCCCUGUUGAGUCCAUAUCUGUUAUGGAACUAAUUCCUAUAAUUGUGAAACCAUAUGAGAUGCAGAAGAAUAUGCAAUUCUUUUUUUUUAAAUUAUGUUGACCGGGAAAUGUUGAAGCUGCAUAGGUUAUUUGAAGAUCAAUCAGGGAGUUGUGAACUUCUUUCCCGGAAAAGGAGCAAGGACAAUAUCUGGGGAAUAAGCAUCGACCAACUCUGUGCCAGCAACCGUGAUAAGCCAGAGGAUGCAAGCGUUAUCCGGAAUGUUGGGCAUAAAGUGUUUGUAGGUGGCUUUCAAGUAUGACGUCAAAUCCCAGAGCUCAACCCUGGACAGGUAGUGGAAACUGCCAAGUUGGAGCACGGUAGGGGCAAGGGAAUUUUCAGUAGAGCGAUAAAAUGCAUUGAGAUUGGAAAGAACUCCAACGACGAAGCACUCUACUGGGUCGACUGACAUUGAGAGAUGAAAGCUAGGGGAGCGAAUGGGAUUAGAUACCCCAGUAUUCCUAACUGUAAAUGAUGGAUACUAGGUGCUAUGCGUAUUGACUCGUUCAGUGUUGUAGAUAACACAUUAAGUAUCCCGUCUGGGGAGUACGCCCGCAAGAAUGAAAUUCAAAGGAAUUGUUAGGGGGUCGCCCAAGCGGUGGAGCAUGUGGUUUAAUUCGAUGCAAAGCGAAGAGCAUUUGGGCUUGACAUGUCGCGAAUGCUCUUGAAAGUAAGGGUUGCCUUCGGGAACACAAAUACAGGUGGUGCAUGGUUGUGGUCAGCUUGUGUCAUAAGGUGUUGGGUAAGUCCCGCAAAGAGCUCAACCCUCGUGUUUUGUUUCCACCGUUGAGUUUGGAACCUGAACAGACUGUCGGUAAUAAGCUGGUGUUUGCCACCGUCAAGUCAUCAUGCCCCUUAUACCCUGGGCGACACACGUGUUAUAAUCGCAAGGAAAAAGGGUCGCGAUCCCGCAAGAGUGAGCUAACCCCAAAAACCCGUCCUCAAUUUGGAUUGCAGACUGCAACUUGCCUGCAUGUAGCCGUAAUUGCUGGUUGGCCAUACAGCGGUGAAUUCGUUCCCAGGCUUGUAAACACCACUUGUCACACUAUGGGAGCUAGCCACGCCCAACCGCAAGGAGGGGGGUGCCGAAAGCAGGGCUAGUGACUGAAGUGAACUCGUAACAAGGUAGCCGUACUGAAAGGUGCGGCUG
rnacentral:rRNA from 1 species